rnacentral:rRNA from 1 species
AUUGCACAAUGGGCGCAAGCCUGAUGCAGCCAUGCCGCGUGUAUGAAGAAGGCCUUCGGGUUGUAAAGUACUUUCAGCAGUGAGGAAGACGGGUACGUUAAUAGCGUGCUCGUUUGACGUUAGCUGCAGAAGAAGCACCGGCUAACUCCGUGCCAGCAGCCGCGGUAAUACGGAGGGUGCGAGCGUUAAUCGGAAUUACUGGGCGUAAAGCGCAUGCAGGUGGUUUGUUAAGUCAGAUGUGAAAGCCCGGGGCUCAACCUCGGAAUAGCAUUUGAAACUGGCAGACUAGAGUACUGUAGAGGGGGGUAGAAUUUCAGGUGUAGCGGUGAAAUGCGUAGAGAUCUGAAGGAAUACCGGUGGCGAAGGCGGCCCCCUGGACAGAUACUGACACUCAGAUGCGAAAGCGUGGGGAGCAAACAGGAUUAGAUACCCUGGUAGUCCACGCCGUAAACGAUGUCUACUUGGAGGUUGUGGCCUUGAGCCGUGGCUUUCGGAGCUAACGCGUUAAGUAGACCGCCUGGGGAGUACGGUCGCAAGAUUAAAACUCAAAUGAAUUGACGGGGGCCCGCACAAGCGGUGGAGCAUGUGGUUUAAUUCGAUGCAACGCGAAGAACCUUACCUACUCUUGACAUCCAUAGAACUUUCCAGAGAUGGAUUGGUGCCUUCGGGAACUAUGAGACAGGUGCUGCAUGGCUGUCGUCAGCUCGUGUUGUGAAAUGUUGGGUUAAGUCCCGCAACGAGCGCAACCCUUAUCCUUGUUUGCCAGCGAGUAAUGUCGGGAACUCCAGGGAGACUGCCGGUGAUAAACCGGAGGAAGGUGGGGACGACGUCAAGUCAUCAUGGCCCUUACGAGUAGGGCUACACACGUGCUACAAUGGCGCAUACAGAGGGCGGCCAACUUGCGAAAGUGAGCGAAUCCCAAAAAGUGCGUCGUAGUCCGGAUUGGAGUCUGCAACUCGACUCCAUGAAGUCGGAAUCGCUAGUAAUCGUAGAUCAGAAUGCUACGGUGAAUACGUUCCCGGGCCUUGUACACACCGCCCGUCACACCAUGGGAGUGGGCUGCAAAAGAAGUGGGUAGUUUAACCUUCGGGGGGAC